ensembl:lncRNA
GUGUCCCCCAGUUCUAACUAGUGUUUUUAACAAAGUCUACCUACGGUAGUGUUAGCCCAUGGGCGACUUGUCUUGGUUUCCCCUUUUCCCACCAGCAACAAACACAAACACCAUAACCAAAAACAAUACUCACAGGAGAUGACAAAGUGAUUGGAGGUGCUCAAACAAAAAAGAAGGUAAGACACAAAGAAGAGUGAAACACAGAGACCUACAGACAUGGCAUUUACAGAGAGAUUGAGCUGUAGAGCAAACAACUGAUGGGGUUUUUAAACCAAGGGAAGGAAACUGUGAUAGGGUAGGAAACAGGAGAGGGUGGUGUCUUCUGAUUGAUGAUUGAUUGUUGACUGAUUGGGGAGUGAUGAUGUUCACCUGUGAGGGGAGAAGGAGAAAAAAGAAACACACACAGGAUACUUGUAUCCGUAACAGCAACCCUAUGGCAGGCCUAUGGCAACCCAUGGCAGGCCUAUGGCAACCCUAUGGCAGGCCUAUGGCAACCCUUAUGGCAGGCCUAUGGCAACCCUAUGGCAGGCCUAUAGCAACGCUAGGGCAGCCUAUGGCAACCCUAGGGCAGGCCUAUGGCAGGCCUAUGGCAACCUAUGGCAGGCCUAUAGCAACGCUAUGGCAGGCCUAUGGCAACCCUAUGGCAGGCCUAUGGCAGGCCUAUGGAAACCCUAUGGCAGCCCUACGAAGGUAUAUGCAACCCAAUGGCAACCCUAUGGCAACCCUAUGGGCAGGCAUAAUGGCAACCCAUGGAGGCCUAUGGCAACCCUAUGGCAGGCCUAUGGAGCCUAUGGAACCCUAUGGCAGCCCUACGACAGGUAUAUGGCAACCCAAUGGCAGGCCAUGGCGGCUAUGGAACCCUAUGGCAGCCUAUGCAGGCCUAUCGCAGCCCUAUGGCAGGCCUAUGGCAACCCAUGGCAGGCUAGGGGCAGCCCUAUGGCGGCCUAUGGCACCCUAUGGCAGGCCCUAUGGCACCCUAUGGCAGGCCUAUGGCAACCCUAUGGCAGGCCUAUGGCAACCCUAAUUGGCAGCCCAUGGCAGGCCUAUCGCAGCCCUAUGGCAGGCCUAUCGCAGCCCAUGGAACCCUAUGGCAGCCCUAUGGCAGGCCUAUGGCAGGCCUAUGGCAACCCUAUGGCAGCCCUAUGGCAGGCCUAUCGCAGCCCUAUGGCAGGCCUAUGGCAACCCUAGGGCAGGCCUAUGGCAGCCCUAUGGCAGCCAUGGCAGCCCUAUUGGCAGCCCUAUAUCGCAGCCCUAUGGCAACCCUAUGGCAGCCCUAUGGCAAACCCUAGGGCACCAAUGGCAACCAAUGGCAGCCUGGGUACAACGUUAGAGGACCUAAACAUGCCGUCUUACCUUCAUCCAAACAGUAAGCCACCAUACAACAGAGCUACGUAUCUACAAACAGGUAGAGCAUCAUACAAACAGGUAGAGCCAUCCAUACAAAACAGGU